rnacentral:lncRNA from 1 species
UGGGGGAGUAGUUCAGGAUUUUGCCAUCUUGAAGCAAAGAGCACUGGCUUGGCAGGGACUCUGAGGCCCUUCUGUGCCUGGUAGAUGCCAGAAGAGACUUUGAGAAGUGGCCCUCAGCUCUCGAGGCCUCUUGACCCUAACUUUGCUUGCGUCCAUGUGGUGAACUCGCUUGCUCCAUGGAGGCAUGGCUGCCCGUUGAGUCGUGCUUUUCAAUCUCUCUUUAACAACAUCUCUGAAAAAGUGUAAUUUUUCACUGCAUGCUGUCAGAGGCGGCAAUCACAGUCUGUUAAACAAAAUAAUGAGAGGAAUAAAACACACAGAGACACAGGGCCAAGAAGUCCACGAAAAACAGAUCCCAGGGCUGUCUGGCCAAGAGGAGCUGGAGGGCUCUGUGGAACGUCUGCUCAGAAGUGUCACAGAAUUCAGUCCCGCAGGCCCAGGUCAGCCUGUGAAUGUCUCCACCACAGGCAUUUUGUUGUCUGUGGGAUAUUGUGCUGGCCUCACACCCUCACCUCCUGUGUCCCCGGCUCAGGCAGCACCCCACCCACCAGAAUCCCACUGCAGCCUCCCUCUGCCUGCAGCUGCUGGACAUCUGGUUACACCUGGCACAGCAGUGUGCCCUGGACCACACGCCCUUCCAGAGCCUUCUCCAUUGAGAGGGACUGUGCAGGCCUUGGUGAGGGUUGUGGUGAGCAGAGUGAGGCCAAGAGAUGCUGUAUUCACCUCCUACACCUGCUCGAACAAAGGGCGCCAGAGACCAGCUUAAACAGACACACACCUGUUCCUUCCAUCCUGGAGGCCAGAAGUCCAAGGUAAGGUGUAGCUGCACUGGUCCCUCCUUGGCACAUAGAUGCCAUGUUCUCCC